GACGAACGCUGGCGGCGUGCUUAACACAUGCAAGUCGAACGGAAAGGCCCUGCUUUUGUGGGGUGCUCGAGUGGCGAACGGGUGAGUAACACGUGAGUAACCCGCCCUUGACUGUGGGAGAACUUCAGGAAACUGGGGCGAAUACCGGAUAGGAGCUCCUGCUGCAUGGUGGGGGUUGGAAAGUUUCGGCGGUUGGGGAUGGACUCGCGGCUUAUCAGCUUGUUGGUGGGGUAGUGGCUUACCAAGGCUUUGACGGGUAGCCGGCCUGGGAGGGUGACCGGCCACAUUGCGACUGAGGUACGGCGCAGACUCCUACGGGAGGCAGCAGUGGGGAAUAUUGCACAAUGGGCGGAAGCCUGAUGCAGCAACGCCGCGUGCGGGAUGACGGCCUUCGGGUUGUAAACCGCUUUCGCCUGUGACGAGGCGUGAGUGACGGUAAUGGGUAAAGAAGCACCGGCUAACUACGUG
rnacentral:rRNA from 1 species